UUGAAUUUUAUCAACGCAGCAUUUGUAUUACUUGAUGAAUGGUCAUGACAUUUCAGGCAAAUAUUUGUAUUGCUACUAACUCUAUAAUUAAGUGGAAAGAAGUCAACGCAAGUGCGCAAACUUUCUCUGUUGCAAACGUGUUUUCGUGAUCAAGCUAAAUUCGAUCACAGUUUCUUUUUUAUAUAUUUUUUCCCAUGUGUACGUGGAUAUGUGUGUGUUUUGCUGCUAUUUUGCAUUGUAGCACAACAAGCAUUGACGAAUCAUUUUACCUGGUGAAGUUAUUAAGCGCCUUUGCAAUGAUUGAACAUCGUAAAAAUUCUUUGAACAACUCAUCGUAUUAGGAAAUCGUUUUCCAUUUAUGGUACCCAGUUCACUACAGUUCACAGAUGCAAGCAAAUUCAUACAUUUUGUCAGAAAAUAUAUUCAGAUUUUCGUGAAUAACGUUUUGCGCAGUGUAGGACAGAUAUAUAAUUCGAAGGCGGGAUUUGAAACUUUCCAAAAAAAAAAACCGGAAUUCCCGAAUAACAAAAAAAACGGAGAUGGUGAACAGGGGGCCUAUGCCCAUCGUGUUUCUUUUUCGUUGCAAAUUUCAACAGGCCAGCUAUCUACAUUGCAAUUUCAACAAUAUUCAUCGCGUACGAAAUUCCACCCAAAAGUGAUCGUGAUUCAUAAAAUUGGAGAAUCGUUGAUGAAACAAUUCUAAAGUAGAAGCUUUUGUUUAAAACAACGAAUUACAUGAAGUUGUGUACCAACGUGCCACCCAUUUAAAAAUUCAGUUACUCCGUUACUGAACGCAUAAAAAAGGGUAAUACAAAUAUCGUAAAGCGGACGGAAUAAAAACCACCACGACAGAAAAGUGUUGUCUCCAAUUCCGCAAUGACUUCUCUCGUUCUCUCUCUCUCUUUCUCUCUCGAACUGUGCACACUGCUUGAGCAAUAGGCCAGUGGAUGCGCUUCUAAAUUAUUUAUACAAAUUGCUUCUACGACGUUUCUACCCAUUUUGUUCGCUCUCUUUUUUUUCCGUUACUACUACUGGUUUUCGGCCGCCGUUUGUUGUAUCUACGUUGGUCGCACUCAAUCACAUUGACUUUUAUUCAAAUUUUGUCUCAAGUUGUGCUCUCCAUUGCGCAUUUAUUGCUGGAGAUGGUUGUUUAUUGUUACCGAAACGGCUCAUGGUCGAAAACUCAAGUGGCAUUAUCGGUCCGUUGUCUGACCAUAUACGAAAGUUUGUAAGCACGUCAUGCUUAAACACGAUAUCUUCCUUUCACCAAAUGUUUAUCAAGUGAAUGAAAAAGAAAAGAAUGAAAACCAGCGCCGAUACGACAGCAAACCCAAGCACUUCGUGGUUCAUUCUCGUUUCCUUUAAACUUUCUUCAAUAGUUUCAUCUUUCAUCCACUACACAUCUUUGCCUCUUCAUUAAGCCAAGAAAAACAAUGCGCUCCACCCCGCACUGUUUCAGUCAAAAGUUUCCACACAGCGGUUGUAUGCACGCACCUAAUUGUGUGAGAGGUUAAUUAAAGUAGAUGAUACCAGAGGAGAUUUUGUUAAAAAUUUUGAACAAAUGAAUCGAAUCGCCUCGAUUUUAACUCCCAUUCAAAUAUUUGAAUGACUCAAGUUUAAAGACAUCAAAUGGUUCUUUUUCUCCUGUCGAAAAUUGAAAAAUAAUCAAAUCUUUUCGUGAUAACAUUUUUAAAUUGCUUAAAAUGUUCUAACUUUUUCUGUACAAGAAAUGCAGGAAAUUUUUUUUAUUGUUCCUUAUUGACGACAUCUAACGAAAUGAAAACAAUCAAAUUCCAAGUGAGAAUAUUUACUCGUUAACAGCAGGUUUAAAAAAGUUUUUUGUUUCGAUACUCCAAUUUUCUUUAGAACAGCCUCUGAUUUCCCAUACAUCAGAUAUGCGAAAAUCGGUUCAAAAUUUAUCCGCUUCAAUUUUGAGGGGUAAUUUUCUGUCACAUAAUUUCCGGUGCAGAUAUUAGACAUUUUUUGAUGUCUUCGGAGUACUUUCUUCUUUCCUUUCAUUUGCACAAUUUUCAAAAUAUAAAACAGAAUAGCAAAAACUGCAGAUUACAGUGAAGAGAGAUGAAAAGGUUUCUAUUAAUUUGUAUCCGUAAUUUAAAAGCACAUUGUCAUGCGAACAGUCAUAAAACUCUCAAACUCCAACAUCAAACGCGCCAUUAACGAAGGGGAGCUGGAAAAUUUUCCAAAUAUUUGUGUGGUUGUUUUUAUUUUUUCAAAUCUUGUGAAUGCACAGCAUAACUGUGUUUACAAUCUAUUACCAUCGGGCCAUCAGAUUUGCAAUAUCAGUGUCGGUUGAAAAAUAAUCUGUAAAUUGGAUUUUCGAACAAGAUACCUUGUUGAAACCAUGGAAAACUAAAUUAGUAAGGACUCAAUAUGUCAAUUGAAACUCUGGAGAUUGAAAACCUAAAUCAACCGUUCUAUUUGGAGAUUGAUAAUUUUUCGAUUUAUUGCGCUUGAAUCGAUUGAAGGAUGAAUCGACCGAUAAAAAAAAAUCCAUUUCUUUGUGUUGAAUAUGAGUCCAUAAAUCCAAAUUAAUUCAACUGGAAAUGACGAAAAGGUCAUCCAACCAAUCGUUUGUUUUUCUUUGUGCCUCAUUUAAAUUUUUUCCUCAUUCUAGAUUCACUCUUUUCAAAAAGCAAAAAAUAAAAAAUAUCUCAACAGAAAGCGUUUGGUUCCCCGGUUCGACCACACCAAAUAAAUUGAGGUUUAAAGCAAAUUUUUUCAAAGAUGAUGUUGUAAUUCAUUGUUGUACUACGCUUCAAUGGAUCCAAUGAAAUUACAGAAAUAAACGAACGUUCAUUGCACAAGGUACUAAGCGCACAUACAAUACAAAGCAAAGCAAAGCAACCAACCAACCAACCAAGCAAACAAACCACAAAUAACGAAUAAUUGAAAUACAUUGCAAGCUUUUAACAGUAUAUUAAUAUGAUAGAAAAUUCUAUUUUAGCAUUGGAGCGAGAAGAUAGCGCACAUCGAAUGAAGUAAAAACAAAAUAAAGAAGUACACACUAAAAAUAACUUUACCAAAAGGGUCAUUCUAUUGUAUAGGACAAAAUCCAAUUGUCUUUUUUUAUACACAUCAUCGAGUAUAUCUCAACAUCACAGAGCAAAAACAAAACCGACAAGUGAAAUUAAAUUCAAAAGACUGAUUUUCCUACAAAAACAACCCUCUCCAUUUUGCUGACAAAAUAAGGUCGAGUAAAGUCAGUGUUCAAUGUGCAUUCUGUACUAGAGAAGUUCUAUUGUGUAAGAAAAUCUCUGACUCGAAUAUAUUUCUACGCACGCUUUAUUCCCAACCAGAGAAUAUCUGCACAUGGAUUUAUUCAAAUAAAUUAAAAAUAUCAAAUAAAUUUAUCGAUAUUUUUCAUGCGUUACGAUGUCUUAACGCAUUUGCAGUAUAAAAAUGAAAGGUUUCAAUUGGUAUCCAAUUGGAUCCCAAUGGUAAGUUUAUCACUAUUUCGUUUUUACACUGCAAAUGCGUUAAAACAUCGUAACGCAUGAAAAAUAUCGAUAAAUUUAUUUGAUAUUUUUAAUUUAUUUGAAUAAAUCUAUGUGCAGAUAUUCUCUGUUUCCAACAGAAGAAAAUUACCAUUUUAUAGUAAUAAAGACAAUAGUUUAAUACUAAUAAAAUUAUGGUAUGCAAAAAUCAAUCAAAAAUAUUCCAAAUACCCCCCACAAAAGACUCUUUCCACGCGUACAUACGUUCCUCCGCAUCAAUGUGUAGACAUUGUAUUAUAAUACAGGAAUCUUGUAACAAGAUAUUUCCAUACGCCGCUUCUAUAAGUUGAAAUGAACAUUAGCUGCAAAUGACAGCUCACUUUAUCGAAAACAACAAUGUAGUGCCUUUUAUCUCGUUAAUUGUGCAUCAAUUUUUUUUCUGCAUCCAUGUGUCUUCAACUUUUGCUCAAUUUAAAGUAGAUCAGAAAAAUUAAAUUUCUGCUUAUUGCACAUAAUAAAUAUUUAAUUACUUCUGUCUACCUAUCUAAAUGAAAUAAUAGCGAAGCGAAUAAUUAGUUUUGUUCCCAAAUUUCAUUCUGUCAUUUAUGCACCAUUCCAAAUUCGUUUAGUGUUUUUGCCGGCAUGUGUGCACAUAUAUACAUAUACGCCGGUUGGCAAUUUACUCAUAUAAUGUACGUGUAAAUAUCUUUGUUUGGUCGAAAGGCAUCAACGAUCAGACCAAUGUGAAAAAGAACUUUCAACUAAUUCUAUUUACUAUGUUGAAAGCUUGGAAGCAAAGAGAAUUAAAAGAACCGCAGUGUCAAACGCAAAUGCAAGCAUUACUUCUCAGAAGAGCAAUGCAUAGCUCUGUAGAGAAAAAUGACACAAUAUUAAGCAAUUCAAUUUGAUCUAUUGUCAAAGAUGAUGUAUGUUCGUCCACCUGUCGAAUAUUCUCCGGUUAUGUUGACAGAUUUAUUUUGGGUCCCAUACACGUUGAACAGCAAAAGUGCGUAGACUAACUUCAUUCACAUCAACAUAAAAAAAAUAUAUAAAUACACUUCAUUCCAAAAUUUGGUGGACUGUUUUUUUUGCCUCUACAAAACUUCUAAUCGAUGGUCCUACGUCUUUCCCUCCAUUCGUAUAAGUUCGUGAUUGUCAAUUAGGAAAUGAAUUUAAACAAAAAAAAAUGUUCUGUGACUGAUGGGUUUGUGAUGCUUGCUGGAAAAACGUGCGCCUUGUGAUAAAAUUAUUAAUAUAUUAUCGGCAAACAACAACGAAAAAACAAAAUUCAAUGAAUAUUUGAUGGCGAUCAUCAGUCAAAUUGGAUCGACAACGACGACGAUGAUAAUGAUAAUUGAAAAUUGAGUAGUGAAACUGACUGACGGUAAGAAACAUAGUAUAAAACGUAGAAGAAACAGAAAUGAAACCAUAAUACAUGUUUUCCGCCAAAUUUCACUUCGCGUUAAUGCGAGUCUACGUGAAUCAGAAGCAAUUCCAUGGCAGGAUACAUUCACAAAUGUAACACUCACACACACAUACUCACAACAGUAUCAAUAAGAAUUUCCAUAUGUUAACUUUGCUGUCAUGCUCUUUUCAAGAUCAUUUUUCAUUUUGUUUUUCUUAUUUCCUUUAUUGUUCGGUCAUAUGUCAAAUGUAUAUUCGUACAUAACAGUGUAAUCAAAUAUUUAGCAUCAAGAGCGGACACAUUUUGCUUGUAUUUCGCUCAUGUAACAAUUGACGAGUGUAAGAAAAAUUCGGUGGAUUCUGUACAAUUAGGAUUUUGCACGUGCAUAUUGUCAUCACGAAACAAUGAUAUGAAACUAGUAAUCGUAUUAUGUUCGGCGGCAAAUCAGGUGGAGAUAUUUAAUGGCAUUGCUAUUGGCAAUAUAUCUAGUUAGUUUUUGAAAAUGACAAUAUAUUGUAUAUAGACAACAUAUUCGAGGACACAGCUAAAAUCACUUAGAUGAUGUUUGAUACUAAAUACAUUGCCAGAUAUUGUAUUGAAUCUCAACUUGAACACUAACAUUUUAAUUAGUUUUCUGUAAUAUUCAUACCGACCGAUAAAUAAGUACUGUGUCAGACUUUGACGCCUUUUCUGUUAAGCAAGAAUGGAAAAACACAAUAAAUGGGGACAAAAUCGUGUUCCGAAAAUUCCCAUGGUGAAUUAAUUUUGGCAUCUGAAAUACCUACUUUAUUCUAUCGCCGGUAAAACGGAUUCUCUUGGUGCAACAGUGAGUUGAGUUCUUGGUGGUAAUUCCGUGUAAUUUCACUUCCUCAGAGAAAUAAUUGCAAAAAUUAAGCGAAACAAAGUCACAGAACAAAUGUUUUGUGUGUUUAAUGCUUAUUGCAUGUGUUACCAUUUGAAGAUGAUGAUGGGAAUAUGUUUGCAGGAGAUGUAGCAACAACCGUAACGAAACUAUUACAAAUAAUAGAAAAAGAAAAACCGACAAACAUUAUACCCAAAUAAAUCAAUUUCCCAAGUGGGAACAAACCGUCACAUUCUUAUCAGUUUAUUAUGUUUCUUCGGUAUGCCUUAAAGUCUAUUAAACUGAUGACGAAAUCAUGAAUAUAGAAUGACAUUCUAUUGUGUCACACACGCUGUUUGUCGUCGUUCCCUUCAGGAGCACACCCCAGCAAUUAUAUACAAGUAUGUACAUAUACACGCAUCCAAUUCGAACACUUUAUUAGUGAAACAUUGAACUUAACGGAAAAAACAUAUAAAAUUGCAUGAAAAAAUAAGCAGAAAAAUGUGAGUUUUGUGGCUUUUUGCACCUCAUCCAAACUUAUUCAUAUCAAUUCUACAAACGUCCAACACAAGAAUUAGUUGGAUAUCGGAAAUCAUUGUAGCCUUUAUCUCUUUAUUUAAUACACAAAAACUGGUUGAAAUAUAUCAUUGGAUCAGAAUCGAAGUUUUUUGUAAUGCAAUGAGCAAUUUUAAUUCGUUCCAGCAUGGAUGAAUUCAUAAAUUUGACGUGAAAUCGUCUACUUUGAUUGCUCAAUGCUCAGUCGGAGUGGAUGACUCGCACUAGUAUGGUUAAAUUUUGUUUAAAUAAACGUGUCUGGUGAAGGAAAAUGGGAAGGGUGUGUACUGUGCAACAUUUAUAUGUUUGGGCUAUAUAACGCAAUACGAAUGUGCUAAAGAGAAUCUUUGCCUGCAAAAGAGAAAAAAAAUUCGUGCCGCAUGGUGUUUGCAAGCAACAUGCAUUUUUAUUUGCACAUAUGCGCCGUAUAACAAACAUAAUCGUCAGUUCAUCGAUUUCAUUGGUAAUAUUGCUAUCGGAUAAGAACAUUUUUGGGCAUUUUUAUUUGAAUUCGAACUCACAUCAAACGCAUUUAUUUAGAUUUUCAAAUGUUUCCACAACUGCUCCUUUCUAUUUGUGGGUUCUCGCACACUGCCAUCUUCGUCUUCGUCGUCGGCAUCAUCAACACUUCGAAAAGGCCAAAACACUCCAACAUAACGUUGAACGUGGCGAGAAAAACCAGCGAACUUGGAAUCAGUAACCCUCCUUUUUCUCUUUACCCUGCAUAUAAAAACACUACAUAGAUUGAAUAGUCUGUGUGGAAAACGGUCUUGGAAACAUGGAGUUACAAAAAGAAAUAAAAAUAAAACUCAAGAUAUAAUACCAAAAAUAUUGAAUGCAUGCACAAGCACAUGAACAUGUUCAUCCAGUAUUAUACUGUGUGUAGUCUUGUGGCCGAAAUGUGAACGGAAUAUGUAAAAUCUUUUUCUGAAAAGAUGCCAUAAAUGUUUCGUACUUGUACGUGGAUAUCGUUCGUUUUUUAGGCAUUGAUAAUCGGAAAUCGUCAAUAUACGUACUGAAAAUGAUACCAGAGAGUACCUAUGACUUUGGAUACACUCGCAUUUUUUUUGGGAAAAAUCAAAAUAAAGAAAUCCCUUAAAAAUGAACACCACAUCGGAGCAAACAAAACCCAUAAACAUACAGUCUAACACCCUCAAUCAUGCCGCAAAUGGUUCGAAAGAAUCAUUCUGAGAGCUCAUACCGCAGCAACAAUAUUUUUAAAUGCGAACAUAUUUUCACGAAAGUUUUCUAUGUAGGUAUAUUUUGCAGUAUAUCACAAAAUAUACCUACAUUGUUUCAUUCGUGUAAUUGUAUUGAAUUGUUUUGAUACCGAUGCAAAAUGUGUUUUUUCCCUCUAUGGCUUCGUCGUUCCAUUAACCCAGAUCACAACUGUUACAUAAUAAUUUUCAUCGCUAAAAAUCUGAAUAUCAUGUUUAAUAUCUCCAAACAAUAAAGAAUCGGUAUAAAUAUGUUACAUUUCACAUGGUGUUUAUAUGUAUAUAAGGUGUCAAUUAUUUGCAUAUUGACAAAAAGUUUCAACUUCGGUACAUUUUUUAGGAGUUUUUCGAACAAAAAAACCCUUAAAACAGUCUUUAUGAAGAUACCGAACAAAAGAAAUAAUAAAUUAAAAUAACAUUAGGACGAAAUGAUUUUUUAAAAGUGCAUACGAAAAAAAUCUAAAUAAAUGCUUGCCUCUUAUCAUUCGAUCAAUGUCAAAUAUUUUCCAACUGACACUGGAUUAAUUUCUAUUGGGACAAAGGACAAGUGUUUCCGUUCAUUGUUCAAGAUAUUCGAUGGGUUUUUUUCGAGUUAAUUUUUAGUCACAGCGACCUUUCACUGCAUGUUGGAUUUAUUGCCAUCGUUUUUCAUCGCAGCGAAAGCGUAAAAAAUGUCUGAACAAAUUAUCACCAGCAACGACAGCAACAGCCUCAGCAGCUGGAAAAAGCGAGUGCAAACAAAAAAUGUUUUGCAUAUUAGAUUAAAAAAAUGGGAAAGUGGGGCGCAUGGCACAGAAAUGAAUGUGAUGAUUGUCACCGUUGUUGCGUUCAUGCAUUCGAAGGGAACACUAAAUUUCAUCAGAUAAUUCAUUGUCGCUUGUAUCAUCAAGUUGUAUCGAAAAAAAUGUAUUUAUGGUAUUCAUACCACUGAGACAGAAACGCGUGCAUGUGUUCUGAUGUCCAACUAUUAAGGAUCGUUUUAGGACACGUUCACAAUUCAACAACAUUGCAUUCAGAAGUACGAUAAAAUGACAAAAUAUUCACAGGUUUUAUACGAUAAUUAUAAUUGAAAAUAUACAAAAUCGGUUGGUUUUGACGACAAUUAAAAUCGAUGACGACAAUGAGAUAACCUGUUGUUUUACGGACUAGCAUUACUUUCAAUUUACAUGGGUUCAAACUGUCUUUUUUUUCAUUUGAAUUUUAAAUAUUUCUAGAAAGCACUACAUAAUUAUGAAGCGAAAAUUAUAUACAUAGUUAGUGCGACGGGAAUUAAAUGUUGUCAACGAAGAAUUUGAAGUAUCAUUUUGGUACACGAAAAAAAAAACUCUUGAACUUUGUCGUGAGUUGUAUUUAACUGGACGUGACAUGACUGCCUAUUAAAAAUUUGCUUGUUUUUUUUUUCAAAAUUAUUCCUGUUCUGAUGAGUGCGGUAUUUCAAGUUAAGUUGGUCCUCGUUUUAGAUAAACCUGAAACAAUGGUAAAUACAAUUUCUCGUAGCUUUUUUUACGAAAAAAAAAAUCGGUUGUUCCAAAAACGAACCGGCUGAAAAUUUACUACACAUACGUUGUUGGACACAACAGUUUUUCCAUUUUGUUCAUCACAAUAGAUUUUAUUGCAUGGUAUGGAACCCUACAAGUUGUCAUACGCUUUGCUGUGAUGUAGUAUAGAGAAAUUCCACGGAGCAGGGGGCGGAAUGUGGAUGAAAAAAAGGUGUCAAAUUAUAUGCACGAGAUCUUCUUGCUCGGUUCCCCAUUCUUUUUUGCAUAAAUAAUCUCUUCAGGUGCAUUCAAAAUGAUGCCACAGUGAGGUACGCUGCAAAAACCGUUGAUAACAAAAAGAACAUGUUAUGCCACACAUAUUUUAUAGCAGAAUAUCGGGUUGAUUUUUAGUAGAUUUUUAUUGUUAUUGGCGCAUAAUACGAGGCAAAGUGUGCGUUUAGAGAAUAAAUAAGUAGAAAAUCCAUGGUUCGUACGCAAGCAUGCUUUAUUAUUAUUAGAAGUAGUUAUUCGCAAUUGUAUUUGUGCAGGCGACGACAAUGAUAUUGAACAUACCGUUCAUAUGUUGGAAUAAUAUUUGCUGCUGUACAUUUUGGUUCUUUCGUGUGCUUUUUUUGUUUGUUUUAUUUUGUUCGUAUGGAUGAAAAAUUUGUGUAGCGGGGAAACUGUUUACAAAGUAUCGACGUGUGAUCUGAAUGACAAAAUGUUCAGGGAUUACGCUUAAAGUGAUUGUACAGUAUUUGAUGUGAGUUGAAUGUGUUUAGAGGAGAAAAAAAAACAGAUUCACAGUGAAUUUUGAUCAUGUCACCAUAUCUACAGCUCCCCAAGUUCCAAGUAUACUUUUCCUGUAGUUUGGGAGCGACAAACAACAGCGUGUAGCUUGUGUUCAUUUUAUUGCUCAUUGACACAAAACAACCAUAAAAUCAGUGAAGUUAUUAUUUUAUUAGGUUUUUUUCCUAUACUCAACCACAUAUAUGCAUCAAGAUUGAAAAGAGAGAAAAAAAUGGAAAUUUUUUGGAUAUUUUAUCAUUGCAUUGUACACGAUUAUUCUAUACCAACCCCAUUAUAAUUUACAAGAACGUUUUUGGUUCAAAUCCUUUGUGACAUUUAGCGAUAAUAUGAUGGAACAUGUGUUUGAAAUUAUUGUAUAGGCUGUUGAGACCCAUCAACGAACACACUUGUGGAAGGCUUUGGGAAAAAAUAUUCUCGCCAAAAAAGAGCAUGUAUUUAUAAUUUAAAUGAGGACCGAGAGGCUUCCAGAUCAUAUUCCAAGCAACAAUUGUAGUUUAUCUCUGUUUGGUUUAGAUCCAGCCUCUUGUCGUGAAGAAUGUUUGUUUUUUGUAUAAAUGUGCAUCUUUUAAAGCCCCCCAUGUUUACGUGGCUGGCUGUUAUGAUCUUUGAAGCUUUGUCUGUUGUAUCAAAAAUGGAAUAAAUAGAGCAUUAAAAAACCCUUCAUAAUACUGUGAACAUAAGAACAAAACAAAGAUAUAAAAAAAAUUCGUAUCCAUACUCAACCUUGCAAACGACAUAGAAUAAACAUAGCUACGACAUAAAACACGAAAAAAAUGUGAGAAUUUUUUUCAAAUCGGGAAAUGUAAACGGUAGUGAGUUUGAGUGUAAAUUGUGGCUUGCGAAAAUGGUACCUUUGAUUGUGUGUUAUAACACACACACACAUACACACUGCAUUUUUCACCCACCCCUCAAGACUUCGCAUGUUGCAUGAGCUUGAUUCUAUCGUUUAAUGUUAAAUGUCAACUCGGUUAUUUAUUUAUACAGCUAACAUCUUCUGUCGCUUGUCGCGCUCACAUAAUUUUUCAUCUUCAAGUGGGGUUCACAAAGCGAAAGAGCUCUGGCUUACAAAACGAAGAUUCAGACAUUCAAAUAAAAACUCAUUAUACUUAUUUCAUUUUUAUUUAUAUUUUUGUAUUUGUCACGUUCAAACGAUUUGGUUUUCGUACGUCAAACGUCACCGGUGAGAAAAUAUAUGGGCGCUUCUUUACAUGGCAUCCCUUUUGUGAAAGGACGGAAUUUGUUGCUGAUGUUGUUGCCCAACAAUUCUUCAAGAAAAACUCCAUAUUGUCUGGGAUCAAAAGCUUACUACACUACCAUAUGCGGUUUCAUUUCUGCGAAAUAAACAUUUGUCUUAACAUCAAUGUUCUUUCAUCAAAGCAUCCACUAUAUUCCGCUUGAAACACCCGCUGAAUGUACGAAUGUGUACCAUCGAUGAAAGGCUAUACUUGAAAUGUUACAGAAGUGAUUUCAACAUACCAAAUGACACAUAUGUUAGCAAGAACAGAAAAAGUUGAAAAGAAAUGUUGCAAUAGCGCAUUCAUUUUGACGUCACGAACAAUACGAACACAUUUCUUGUUUGGUUCCGAAAUAAAAACUGAAAGUAUGUUUAAUAUCAAAAAUCCAGCUGUGGAUAUAUAAAAGUCAAUGAAAUAUUCAUAAUGUGCAACUAUUUGCUGUGGAUGAACUGGGAGCGCCCGAAUUGCACUGUUUCAAUUGAAAAAAUCAUGUGAAGCACAAACGUUCGAAUAUGCGAUGAUAAAAUUUUCAGGCUACAUUCGCACAUAAAUGAAAGUUUGGUGAACUGGUAUAAAGACUAGAAAUAAGCAAAUUGAUGUCGAACAAAUUUCACUUCUGUGAAAUAAUAUGUUUCUGUAUUCUGGUUGGCGUUUCAUUAUUCAUAAAUAUAAAAUAAAAAGAAUUACAUUGGUAAUCCCGAACUUUUCCGUACCGUUGGCCUGCGUUGUCCGUAGGUACUUUUGGUUAUUUUUUGUGAAUUUUCUUGAAAUAAAGGCAGUGAAAAUAUAAUAAUGAAAAUAAAGUGAAAAAUCGGUCACUUCGACAAUUUUGUAUGAGAGGUACCCGUAAACCGAUUCUCAUUGGCUUUAAACUU